rnacentral:rRNA from 1 species
GGUGGACGCUGGCGGCGUGCCUAAGACAUGCAAGUCGAGCGGGGCAGGUUUAUACCUGUUCAGCGGCGGACGGGUGAGUAACGCGUGGGUGACCUACCCGGAAGAGGCGGACAACCUGGGGAAACCCAGGCUAAUCCGCCAUGUGGUCCUGUCCUGUGGGGCAGGACUAAAGGGGCGACCCGCUUCCGGAUGGGCCCGCGUCCCAUCAGCUAGUUGGUGGGGUAAAGGCCCACCAAGGCGACGACGGGUAGCCGGUCUGAGAGGAUGGCCGGCCACAGGGGCACUGAGACACGGGCCCCACUCCUACGGGAGGUAGCAGUUAGGAAUCUUCCGCAAUGGACGGAAGUCUGACGGAGCGACGCCGCUUGGAGGAGGAAGCCCUUCGGGGUGUAAACUCCUGAACUGGGGACGAAAGCCCCGUGUAGGGGGAUGACGGUACCCAGGUAAUAGCGCCGGCCAACUCCGUG